rnacentral:snoRNA from 1 species
AUCCUCUUGUGAACGGUUCCUAAGUGUGAAUUGGGUUUUUAUGCCAUUGUGUGAGAUGUGCCUUCCUCAAAUCUUGUAAUGGCAUCAGCACAUUAUCA